rnacentral:rRNA from 1 species
GUUUUCGGACUUACUGGGCGUAAAGCGCACGUAGGCGGCUUUACAAGUCAGAGGUGAAAGCCUGGAGCUCAACUCCAGAAUUGCCUUUGAGACUGUAUCGCUUGAACACGGGAGAGGUGAGUGGAAUUCCGAGUGUAGAGGUGAAAUUCGUAGAUAUUCGGAAGAACACCAGUGGCGAAGGCGGCUCACUGGACCGUUGUUGACGCUGAGGUGCGAAAGCGUGAGGAGCAAACAGG